GACGAACGCUGGUGGCGUGCCUAAUACAUGCAAGUAGAACGCUGAAGGAGGAGCUUGCUCUUCUGGAUGAGUUGCGAACGGGUGAGUAACGCGUAGGUAACCUGCCUGGUAGCGGGGGAUAACUAUUGGAAACGAUAGCUAAUACCGCAUAAGAGUAGAUGUUGCAUGACAUUUGCUUAAAAGGUGCAAUUGCAUCACUACCAGAUGGACCUGCGUUGUAUUAGCUAGUUGGUGGGGUAACGGCUCACCAAGGCGACGAUACAUAGCCGACCUGAGAGGGUGAUCGGCCACACUGGGACUGAGACACGGCCCAGACUCCUACGGGAGGCAGCAGUAGGGAAUCUUCGGCAAUGGACGGAAGUCUGACCGAGCAACGCCGCGUGAGUGAAGAAGGUUGUCGGAUCGUAAAGCUCUGUUGUAAGAGAAGAACGAGUGUGAGAGUGGAAAGUUCACACUGUGACGGUAUCUUACCAGAAAGGGACGGCUAACUACGUG
rnacentral:rRNA from 1 species